GGCUGGUCUGAAGGUAGUGAGUUAUCUCAUUUGAUUGUUCACAGUUACAGAUUGAACUCCUUGUUCUACUCUUUCCCCGGUUCUCACUACUGCACCUGACUAGUCUUAA
ensembl:misc_RNA Y_RNA Y RNA